rnacentral:lncRNA from 1 species
AUGAGUUGAGCGGCGGCGGCCGGCUAGUCCAGCGGCCAGCGAGUUCAGCUGCGGCGUCCGGUGGCGGCGUGGUAGCGAUGGCUGCAGGUCAAGCCUCGAGCAAAUGGUCCCUUCCAUGCGCCCCCUGCAAGGUUAGUUUUUUUUCGGGGCCUUUGGGCCAUCCCGAUCAUAGUUACCGGAUUCGCUCAAUACACCGCCGAACCGGGUUCGAAUUCGUUCUAGAAUUAGGUCCAGCCAUGCGCCCCCUGCAAGGUUAGUUUUUUUUCGGGGCCUUUGGGCCAUCUAGAUCGGGGUUCGAAUUCACGGCCCGAUUCACGACCUGCACAAACACAGUUCGAUCACCAAUUUGGCUUGUCAUUUGGCCGCGGUGCUUCCCUCGCCGCUCGAUGAUGCCACCUCUUAUCACCAACGGGUGUUGCAGGAGAGGAAGGCUGCCGCACGGGGGAGGAGGAAGGCCGCCAUGUGAGGAAAGAGAGGAAGGCCGCCGCAUGCCGGAGGAGUGGGAGGCCGCCGUACGCUGCCGCCUGCAGGAAGAGGAAGC